GACGAACGCUGGCGGCGUGCUUAAUACAUGCAAGUCGAGCGGAGUAUAUCCUUCGGGGUAAACUUAGCGGCGGACGGGUGAGUAACACGUAGGCAACCUGCCUGUAAGACAGGGAUAACUACCGGAAACGGUAGCUAAUACCGGAUAAAUUACUUUACCGCAUGGUGAGGUAAUGAAAGGCGGAGCAAUCUGUCACUUACGGAUGGGCCUGCGGCGCAUUAGCUAGUUGGUGGGGUAACGGCUCACCAAGGCGACGAUGCGUAGCCGACCUGAGAGGGUGAACGGCCACACUGGGACUGAGACACGGCCCAGACUCCUACGGGAGGCUG
rnacentral:rRNA from 1 species